GACGAACGCUGGCGGCGUGCUUAACACAUGCAAGUCGAACGGAAAGGCCCUGCUUUUGUGGGGUGCUCGAGUGGCGAACGGGUGAGUAACACGUGAGUAACCUGCCCUUGACUUUGGGAUAACUUCAGGAAACUGGGGCUAAUACCGGAUAGGAGCUCCUGCUGCAUGGUGGGGGUUGGAAAGUUUCGGCGGUUGGGGAUGGACUCGCGGCUUAUCAGCUUGUUGGUGGGGGAGUGGCUUACCAAGGCGUUGACGGGUAGCCGGCCUGGGAGGGUGACCGGCCACAUUGGGACUGGGAUACGGCCCAGACGCCUACGGGAGGCAGCGGUGGGGAAUAUUGCACAAUGGGCGGAAGCCUGAUGCAGCAACGCCGCGUGCGGGAGGACGGCUUUCGGGUUGUAAACCGCUUUCGCCUGUGACGAAGCGUGAGUGACGGUAAUGGGUAAAGAAGCACCGGCUAACUACUU
rnacentral:rRNA from 1 species